CCAUAAAUUGGAGUGGUUGAGGCAAUGGCUUUGCAAUCCUAUAAAUAGCUUGCCCGUGAAUCAUUUCCAAUCAUCCCAAAUCAGUAACAACACAAGAACAAGUAAAGCUUGUUUAGAUAGUGAGAGAAAAAAUAUAGAGAGAAAAAUUAGUUUCUCCUGUGAGAUUUCUCCUAGUUUGUGUUAGUUAGUAUUCUCCUAUUUAUAAGAGAGAGUGGUAAUUGUACUCUCCUUGUAGUUAGAGAGAGGUCCUGUAAUUUCUUCCACUUAGUGAAAGUUCUCUACUCUUGCCCCGUGGUUUUUUCCCCUUAUUUGUUGAGGGGUUUCCACGUAAAAUAUUGUGUGUUCAGUUCCUCUUUUCUCGUCUCUUAUUUUAGCUGCGUGAUAAUAUUUUUCCCUAUGGAAAUUGAAGAUAAGGGCAAUUUUAAGAAAAGAUAAUUGCUUAGACGCAAUAGAUGGCAGACCUGCAGAUAUCACUGACGAAAAGUGGAAAGAGAUGGAUGAUAAUGCCGUUGCCAAUUUGCACCUAGCAAUGGCGGACUCGGUAUUGUCAAGUAUUGCUGAAAAGAAGACGGCAAAGGAGAUUUGGGAUACUCUAAUAAAAUUGUACGAGGUCAAAUCACUCCACAACAGAAUAUUCUUAAAGAGAAGGCUCUACACUCUUCGAAUGGGUGAAUCCACAUCCGUAACGGAUCACAUCAACACCCUGAAUACGCUAUUUUCUCAACUCACGGCUUCUGAUUUCAAAAUAGCGGAGAAUGAGCGUGCUGAACUUCUACUUCAGAGUUUACCAGAUUCGUAUGAUCAACUCAUCAUCAACAUUACAAAUAAUAACAUAGCUGAUACUCUUCACUUUGAUGAUGUCGCCGGUGCAAUCCUUGAAGAAGAAUCCAGGCGCAAGAAUAAGGAAGAAAGGUCAGAGAGUUCAAAGCAAGCAGAGGCUUUGACGAUGACGAGAGGCAGAUCAACGGAACGUGGCCCUAGUGGGAGUCAAAAUCAUGGUAGGUCAAAAUCUCGAAGAAAGAAGAAUAUCAAAUGUUACGGUUGUGGCAUGAAAGGGCACGUAAAGGAGUGUUGGAAUAUCAAGAAGAAUGGAGAGAAGAAUUUUGAAGCUUCAACAUCUCAAGGAUGUGUUGCAAGUACCUCAGAUGACGGGGAAAUCCUGUAUAGCGAGGCAACAACCAGUUCUAAAGGCGAAAGACGACUCAACGAUGUCUGGAUAAUGGAUUCAGGUGCAACAUGGCACAUGACUCCACACCGAGAUUGGUUUUUCUCUUAUGAGCCUAUCUCAGAAGGAUCUGUGUACAUGGGAAAUGAUCAUGCCUUAGAAAUUGCUGGAGUCGGUACUAUCAGAUUAAAGAUGCAUGAUGGUACUCUUAGAAAAAUACAAGGAGUGCGUCAUGUAAAGGGGUUGAAGAAGAAUUUAUUGUCUGUUGGACAAUUGGAUGAUCUCGGGUGUAAGAUCCACACUGAAAGUGGAAUCUUGAAAGUAGUGAAAGGCAAUCUUGUGGUGAUAAAAGCAGAAAAGAUCACAAGUAAUCUAUACAUGCUUCUAGGGGAUACGUUGCAAGAGGUCGAUGCAUCAGUUGCAGCAUCAAGCCAAGAAGAAACAGCGAUGAUGUGGCAUCAAAGACUAGGCCAUAUGUCAGAACGUGGCUUGAAAGUCCUUGCUGAACGCAAUCUCCUUCACGGGCUCAAGGCAGUAAAUUUACCAUUUUGUGAGCACUGUGUGAUAAGCAAGCAACAUAGAUUGAAGUUUGCUAGAGUAACUACUAAAAGCAAACACAUACUAGACUUGAUACAUUCUGAUGUGUGGGAGUCACCAGAAAUAUCUCUGGGAGGAGCAAGAUACUUCGUGUCAUUCAUUGAUGACUAUUCCAGAAGAUUAUGGGUGUACCCAAUCAAGAAGAAGUCGGAUGUGUUUCCAGUAUUCAAGGCAUUCAAAGCACAAAUAGAGCUUGAAACUGGGAAGAAAAUUAAGUGCUUGAGGACAGACAAUGGAGGAGAAUAUGUAGAUGGCGAGUUUCUAGCAUUUUGUAAACAAGAGGGUAUUGUAAGGCAAUUCACGGUUGCACAUACACCUCAGCAGAAUGGUGCGGCAGAGCGGAUGAAUAGAACUCUCCUAGAAAGAACAAGAGCUAUGCUGAAAACAGCAGGAAUGGCCAAGUCGUUCUGGGCAGAAGCAGUGAAAACCGCCUGUUAUGUAAUAAAUCGCUCACCAUCAACGACAAUUGAUUUGAAGACACCAAUGGAGAUGUGGAAAGGAAAGCCAGUAGAUUAUUCUUCUCUACAUGUGUUUGGUUGUCCUGUGUACGUGAUGUACAACUCCCAAGACAGAACGAAGUUGGACCCAAAGUUCAGAAAAUGUAUCUUCUUGGGUUAUGCUGACAAUGUUAAGGGGUAUCGCCUGUGGGAUCCCACUGCCCGCAAGGUUAUUGUUAGCAGGGAUGUAGUCUUUGCAGAAAAUGAACUGCAAAGUGAGCAGAAAAAUGACAGCACUUCUAAAGAGACUGCUAUAAUGCAGAUGGAAGAAAAAUCCAAAGAAAGUGAUUCUUCUGAAGCUGAACCGAUGCACGGAGAACAAGAACCAUAUGAUGUCAAUGAUGGUGUUCGUCGAUCAACGCGUCAGACGCAGAAACCGUCUUGGCAAUCAGACUAUGUUAUGACAAGCCACGAUGCAUAUUGUCUUAUAACUGAAGAAGGUGAACCGUCAACUUUUCAUGAGGCGUUGAAUGGUUCGGAUGCUUCUCAAUGGAUGACAGCAAUGCAUGAAGAAAUGGAGGCCUUACAUAGGAACAAGACAUGGGAGCUUGUUGAACUUCCAAAGGGUCGGAAAGCCAUUGGAAACAAAUGGGUAUACAAGAUCAAACGUGAUGGCAAUGAUCAAGUGGAACGGUAUCGUGCAAGACUGGUUGUAAAAGGAUAUGCUCAGAAAGAAGGUAUUGACUUCAAUGAGAUAUUUUCUCCGGUUGUCAGACUUACUAUUAUCAGAGUAGUGUUGGCGAUGUGUGCUGCAUUGGAUUUACAUCUUGAACAGCUGGAUGUAAAGACUGCUUUUCUUCAUGGAGAACUUGAAGAAGAAAUUUAGAUGCUCCAACCGGAAGGAUUUAAGGAACAAGGAAAAGAAAACCUGGUUUGCAGGUUGACCAAAUCUCUGUACGGUCUAAAGCAGGCGCCCAGAUGUUGGUACAAGAGAUUUGAUUCUUUCAUAAUUAGCCUCGAUUACAACAGACUUAGUUCAGACCAUUGUACGUACUACAAAAGGUUUGAUGGCAAUGAUUUUAUCAUUUUGCUGUUGUAUGUGGAUGACAUGUUGGUGGUAGGCCCCAACAAAGUUCGAGUCCAGGAAUUGAAGGCACAGUUGGCUAGGGAGUUCGAUAUGAAAGACUUGGGACCAGCAAACAAGAUUUUAGGGAUGCAAAUUCACCGAGACAGAAAAGACAGGAAGAUUUGGCUUUCUCAAAAGAAUUAUCUAAGGAAAGUCUUGCGCCGCUUCAACAUGCAAGACUGUAAGCCAAUCUCUACCCCACUUCCUGUGAAUUUUAAAUUAUCCUCAGGUAUGAGUCCUAGCAAUGAAGCGGAGAGGAUGGAAAUGUCUCGAGUACCGUAUGCAUCGGCGGUGGGAAGCCUUAUGUAUGCCAUGAUAUGUACAAGACCAGACAUUGCACAAGCAGUGGGAGUGGUUAGUCGGUUUAUGGCGGAUCCGGGUAAAGAGCAUUGGAAUGCUGUUAAGAGAAUCAUGAGGUACAUUAAAGGAACCUUAGGUGUUGCAGUAUGUUUCGGAGGAUCAGAGUUAACUGUCAGGGGUUAUGUUGAUUCAGAUUUUGCAGGUGAUCAUGAUAAAAGAAAAUCUACUACUGGUUAUGUGUUCACGCUUGCAGGAGGAGCAGUAAGUUGGUUGUCCAAGUUACAAACUGUUGUAGCUCUGUCAACGACAGAAGCUGAGUACAUGGCAGCUACCCAAGCAUGCAAGGAAGCUAUUUGGAUGCAAAGGUUAAUGGAGGAACUCGGGCACAAGCAAGAGAAAAUUACUGUGUAUUGUGACAGUUGAUAAGUGCUAGAAAGUUGUAUUUUAAGUAAUAUAUUUUAGGCACUUUUGUUACUUGUUUUGCAAGUUAUUAAGGGAAAAGCCGAGAAAUAAGUGAUUAUUGCCCUUUUACGCUUUAUCUAUCUUACUUCACCCAUUUGUGCAGGAUUUGAACUCAAGACAUCAAGGAAAUAGAAGAAAAUGAAGAAAAGUACAAAAAGGCUGAAAAAUGAAGAUUACUCGCCCCCAACUCGCCAUGGCCAGUAAAAGGCGAGCAAUUCCAGUGGCCAACAGAGAUUACACGCCACCAACUCGCAACGGCGAGUAGAAGGCGAGUGUGUUCGCCAUGGCGAGUGGAAUGACUCGCGAGGCGAGUAAAGGCGGUUUAGCCUCUCAAUGCUGACGUGGCACAAACCCAAUGGGGAAGAAACUUCAACUCGCCAUGGCGAAUGAAGUAGCUCGCGAGGCGAGUUAAGGCAGACUCAGAAUCCUAUAAAUAGCCCACUCAACCAUUUCAGACAUAUAUAGUUUAUAUAUAGUUUUUUAGAUAGUUUUUACAUAGUUUUUCACUUAGUUUCUCUCUGUGUUUUCACUUGUAAUAUUCUUAGAGAGAGAGAGAUAGGGCUUGUGCUUUAUAGAGUGAGAAUGAUAGAGAGUGGAUUCUUCAUCCUUUGUUGAGACAUCACAAGUUGUAAUGAAUCUUGCUUCUUCAAUUCAUUCUUGCAAGGCUUCCAUGACAAUGAGUAGCUAAAUCUCCUUUGUUGGGAUUAGAGGUACUUGAUCAUAGUUUAACAUGUAAUCGUUUGAUCUAUAAAUAUAUGGUUCUAGCAUUUGAAUUGAUAUUGAGGUUAUUCUUGCACUUUAAUCUUUAUCUUUGAUUUAAUUGUGAUUGAGAAAUACUUUUGAAUCUAGGUUUAGAAUAACCAUCUAUCAAAACAUAGUUUCUAGACAUGGAAUCGAUGUUUUGAUAAUCACCUUGAGUAUCCAAACCUAAAGCUUUCUUAUCAUUUAAUAGAUUGAGAAAUCAUCGAUUGAACGAUAAGAUCGACUCUUGAAUCAUUCAAUAGUUUGAGACAUCGACCAUUGAAUGAUACAAUUGAUUUCACAAUAUUGUUUGGACACGAAUGGUGUUGUCGAGGGAUACGUGAUAAUAUCAAAGAAAAGCUAGAAUCCAUGUAUGAUCAUUAGGUUACGUGCGACGCUCGAUCAAGGAACUCUAAUCCUAACAAGUUUUACGCCCUAUUAAUCUCAAUUUUAUCAUUUGCAAUUCAGUUACUAAAACAAACAAUCAACUAUCGUUUAACUUGAAAUGAUAUUUGGUGUCGAACGGUCCGCGAUAUCGCACUAGUCCCUGAGGAGACGAUAUAAAUACUUACUAUUGUUUGAUGCAAAAAUACUACAUCAAAAUGGCGCCGCUGCCGGGGAUCCAUGUUUUUAUGCUUUUUGAAAUGAUGAUUGGAUGGACAUAUAACUUGAUUUGGAUGUUAACUUGAUUGCCGGAUGUGUGUUCAUAACCCUCACUCAUUUGAUUUCAAUUCCAUAUCUACUUACAAAGAAGUGUGUUAGGUGUGGUUCGUGAAUAAAUAUUUUAUUGACUUGAACUAUUUGACAUGAACUUUGUGCAUAGGACUCAUUUCAUAUUUGUGGUAGAAUUCUAGAUUAGUUAGAAACUCAGACUUGCCCGCGCAUUCACUUUGAAUCAUUCAUCUGAAAAUGUUUUCAAACCUUUUGUACUUGUGUCUUGUCAUAUUAACUUGUUUGAUUUUCAAUUUUUUGUUUGAGGACAAACAAAGAGUUAAGUUGGGGAGAGUUUGAUAAGUGCUAGAAAGUUGUAUUUUAAGUAAUAUAUUUUAGGCACUUUUGUUACUUGUUUUGCAAGUUAUUAAGGGAAAAGCCGAGAAAUAAGUGAUUAUUGCCCUUUUACGCUUUAUCUAUCUUACUUCACCCAUUUGUGCAGGAUUUGAACUCAAGACAUCAAGGAAAUAGAAGAAAAUGAAGAAAAGUACAAAAAGGCUGAAAAAUGAAGAUUACUCGCCCCCAACUCGCCAUGGCCAGUAAAAGGCGAGCAAUUCCAGUGGCCAACAGAGAUUACACGCCACCAACUCGCAACGGCGAGUAGAAGGCGAGUGUGUUCGCCAUGGCGAGUGGAAUGACUCGCGAGGCGAGUAAAGGCGGUUUAGCCUCUCAAUGCUGACGUGGCACAAACCCAAUGGGGAAGAAACUUCAACUCGCCAUGGCGAAUGAAGUAGCCCGCGAGGCGAGUUAAGGCAGACUCAGAAUCCUAUAAAUAGCCCACUCAACCAUUUCAGACAUAUAUAGUUUAUAUAUAGUUUUUUAGAUAGUUUUUACAUAGUUUUUCACUUAGUUUCUCUCUGUGUUUUCACUUGUAAUAUUCUUAGAGAGAGAGAGAUAGGGCUUGUGCUUUAUAGAGUGAGAAUGAUAGAGAGUGGAUUCUUCAUCCUUUGUUGAGACAUCACAAGUUGUAAUGAAUCUUGCUUCUUCAAUUCAUUCUUGCAAGGCUUCCAUGACAAUGAGUAGCUAAAUCUCCUUUGUUGGGAUUAGAGGUACUUGAUCAUAGUUUAACAUGUAAUCAUUUGAUCUAUAAAUAUAUGGUUCUAGCAUUUGAAUUGAUAUUGAGGUUAUUCUUGCACUUUAAUCUUUAUCUUUGAUUUAAUUGUGAUUGAGAAAUACUUUUGAAUCUAGGUUUAGAAUAACCAUCUAUCAAAACAUAGUUUCUAGACAUGGAAUCGAUGUUUUGAUAAUCACCUUGAGUAUCCAAACCUAAAGCUUUCUUAUCAUUUAAUAGAUUGAGAAAUCAUCGAUUGAACGAUAAGAUCGACUCUUGAAUCAUUCAAUAGUUUGAGACAUCGACCAUUGAAUGAUACAAUUGAUUUCACAAUAUUGUUUGGACACGAAUGGUGUUGUCGAGGGAUACGUGAUAAUAUCAAAGAAAAGCUAGAAUCCAUGUAUGAUCAUUAGGUUACGUGCGACGCUCGAUCAAGGAACUCUAAUCCUAACAAGUUUUACGCCCUAUUAAUCUCAAUUUUAUCAUUUGCAAUUCAGUUACUAAAACAAACAAUCAACUAUCGUUUAACUUGAAAUGAUAUUUGGUGUCGAACGGUCCGCGAUAUCGCACUAGUCCCUGAGGAGACGAUAUAAAUACUUACUAUUGUUUGAUGCAAAAAUACUACAUCAACAGUCAGAGUGCCUUACACAUUGCAAGGAAUCCAGCUUUUCAUUCAAGGACGAAGCACAUUGGCGUUCAAUAUCAUUUUGUUCGAGAAGUAGUGGAGGAGGGAAGCGUGGAUAUGCAAAAGAUUCACACCAAUGAUAACCUAGCGGAUGUAAUGACAAAGCCGAUCAACGCUGACAAGUUUAUAUGGUGUCGAUCCUCGUAUGGCCUAUUGGAAACGUAGCAACUGGAGUUGGCAAGGUAGAGAUACUUUGAAUGCUCACAAAAGUGACUUUAAGUGGGAGAUUGUGAACAUUGGAAAAGGUUAAAGCCAUUUUGAUUGACUUUGAUAUGUACAUGCAAUAUGAAGUAGAAACGUGGAAAGCAAGCCUGUGCAAGUAAUACAUGGUGGCUUGUUAUUCAAUUGUUCACACAUGUUCAUAUGCUGUACAUGUUGAAAUUGUAUGCAUGGCAGUAAAUAAUUUUGACAAUUUGUCCAAUUGUUUACAGUGCCAUAAAUUGGAGUGGUUGAGGCAAUGGCUUUGCAAUCCUAUAAAUAGCUUGCCCGUGAAUCAUUUCCAAUCAUCCCAAAUCAGUAACAACACAAGAACAAGUAAAGCUUGUUUAGAUAGUGAGAGAAAAAAUAUAGAGAGAAAAAUUAGUUUCUCCUGUGAGAUUUCUCCUAGUUUGUGUUAGUUAGUAUUCUCCUAUUUAUAAGAGAGAGUGGUAAUUGUACUCUCCUUGUAGUUAGAGAGAGGUCCUGUAAUUUCUUCCACUUAGUGAAAGUUCUCUACUCUUGCCCCGUGGUUUUUUCCCCUUAUUUGUUGAGGGGUUUCUACGUAAAAUAUUGUGUGUUCAGUUCCUCUUUUCUCGUCUCUUAUUUUAGCUGCGUGAUAAUAUUUUGUUACUCUGGUACCUAACAAAUUUAGUAUAUUAAAAUUUAAGAUUAAUGAAUAGCAAAAAUGAAGAUUGGUGUGGGUUUUGGACUCACAAUAUCUUUGUUGGGUCUUUCCUCUUGUUUUUUGACGGGCUUUACUAAAUUAGAGGAUAUACUUCCCUUAAUGUGUGUAAAGCUAAAAGAGAUUUUCUUAUCACACCUUUUAUGAUUCUCAUGUGCCUUCUGUUUUUCAUAUUCCAUCCAUGUCCAAAUUAUAUAAUAUGAAGCUUAUUAAUGAAAUUUGGUAUAUAUAAUUUGAAAUCUAGCAAAACUCAGAAAACCAAGAAUUUGGCCACCUUGUGGUCUAUGGGUUGAUAUAUUUUGUAUGAUAUAAACUGCACAUUCGAUUUAUAUAAUCUGAAUUGUGUCUAACCUCCACGACAUCAGUUUUCAGCAAUAGUGAGAAUCUUUAUACUGAC
rnacentral:lncRNA from 1 species